CUUGAUGCGGGCUGGAACCUCUCGGGGUUACAGCCUUGCUGAAUUAUUCACCCUUGUCUUUUGCGUACUUCUUGUUUCCUUGGUGGGUUCGCCCACCACUAGGACAAACAUAAACCUUUUGUAAUUGCAAUCAGCGUCAGUAACAAAUUAAUAAUUACAACUUUCAACAACGGAUCUCUUGGUUCUGGCAUCGAUGAAGAACGCAGCGAAAUGCGAUAAGUAGUGUGAAUUGCAGAAUUCAGUGAAUCAUCGAAUCUUUGAACGCACAUUGCGCCCUUUGGUAUUCCAAAGGGCAUGCCUGUUCGAGCGUCAUUUGUACCCUCAAGCUUUGCUUGGUGUUGGGCGUCUUGUCUCUAGCUUUGCUGGAGACUCGCCUUAAAGUAAUUGGCAGCCGGCCUACUGGUUUCGGAGCGCAGCACAAGUCGCACUCUCUAUCAGCAAAGGUCUAGCAUCCAUUAAGCCUUUUUUUCAACUUUUGACCUCGGAUCAGGUAGGGAUACCCGCUGAACUUAAGCAUAUCAAUAA
rnacentral:rRNA from 1 species